rnacentral:rRNA from 2 species
CAAACGACUCUCGGCAACGGAUAUCUCGGCUCACGCAUCGAUGAAGAACGUAGCAAAAUGCGAUACUUGGUGUGAAUUGCAGAAUCCCGUGAACCAUCGAGUUUUUGAACGCAAGUUGCGCCCGAAGCCAUUUGGCCGAGGGCACGUCUGCCUGGGCGUCACAC